AUACGGAGGGGGCUAGCGUUGUUCGGAAUUACUGGGCGUAAAGCGCGCGUAGGCGGGCUGGUCAGUCAGGGGUGAAAUCCCGGGGCUCAACCCCGGAACUGCCUUUGAUACUGCCAGUCUAGAGGUCGAGAGAGGUGAGUGGAAUUCCGAGUGUAGAGGUGAAAUUCGUAGAUAUUCGGAGGAACACCAGUGGCGAAGGCGGCUCACUGGCUCGAUUCUGACGCUGUGGUGCGAAAGCGUGGGGAGCAAACAGGAUUAGAAACCCUAGUAGUCC
rnacentral:rRNA from 1 species